GAUGAACGCUGGCGGCGUGCCUAAUACAUGCAAGUCGAGCGAACGGACGAGAAGCUUGCUUCUCUCAUGUUAGCGGCGGACGGGUGAGUAACACGUGUAUCACCUACCUAUAAUACUGGGAUAACUUCGGGAAACCGGCGCUUAUACCGGAUAAUAUUUUGAACCGCAUGGUUCAAAAGUGAAAGACGGUCUUGCUGUCUCUUCUAGAUGGUUCCGCGCUGCAUUAGCUAGUUGGUAAGGUCACGGCUUACCAAGGCAACGAUGCAUAGCCGACCUGAGAGGGUGAUCGGCCACACUGGAAGUGAGACACGGUCCAGGCUCCUACGGGAGGCAGCAGUAGGGAAUCUUACGCAAUGGGCGGAAGCCUGGCGGAGCAACGCCGCGUGAGUGAUGAAGGUCUUCGGAUCGUAAAACUCUGUUAUUAGGGAAGAACAGAUGUGUAAGUAGCUGUGCACAGCUUGACGGUACCGAAUCAGAAAGCAACGGCUAACUACGUG
rnacentral:rRNA from 1 species